GGCGGAAUUGGCAUACGCGUCGGUCUCAAAAACCGAUGAGGGCAACCUCAUGCGGGUUCAAGUCCCGCCCUCG
rnacentral:tRNA from 1 species